rnacentral:rRNA from 1 species
GACGAACGCUGGCGGCGUGCUUAACACAUGCAAGUCGAACGGAAAGGCCCCUUUGGGGGUACUCGAGUGGCGAACGGGUGAGUAACACGUGAGUAACCUGCCCUUGACUUCGGGAUAACUUCAGGAAACUGGGGCUAAUACCGGAUAGGAAUCCUUGCUGCAUGGUGGGGGUUGGAAAGCUUCGGCGGUUUUGGAUGGACUCGCGGCUUAUCAGCUUGUUGGUGGGGUAGUGGCUUACCAAGGCUUUGACGGGUAGCCGGCCUGAGAGGGCGACCGGCCACAUUGGGACUGAGAUACGGCCCAGACUCCUACGGGAGGCAGCAGUGGGGAUUAUUGCACAAUGGGCGGAAGCCUGAUGCAGCAACGCCGCGUGCGGGAUGACGGCCUUCGGGUUGUAAACCGCUUUCAGCAGGGGCGAAGCUUGUGGUGACGGUACCUGCAGAAGAAGCACCGGCUAACUACGUG